CAUCAGCAUAUGCUAAUAAUUAUAAAAGAUAAUUGCCUAAGAAAAGUUGGUGGUGGUAGAAGGAUAUAUUUGAAAAGGCAAAAUAGUAAUUUCACAGAGAUAGCAGCUAUUACAAACAGUUCACUAACGUAAUUUAACUCUAGGGGUAUAUUUGAAAUAACUUGUAACGUAAAAAGAAUAUUUUUAACAUUAGCCUUCUAAGAGAGAUAAAUCAGAAAGUCAAAAACUUUUCAGAAGUAUAUAAGCAAUUGCCCCUAAUUAUAAAAUCUACAUGCGGACAAAAGAACUUUUCAUAAUGAAAGAUAUGAAAUCCCUCA
rnacentral:lncRNA from 1 species